rnacentral:rRNA from 1 species
GACGAACGCUGGCGGCGUGCCUAAUACAUGCGAGUAGAACGCACAGUUUAUACCGUAGCUUGCUACACCAUAGACUGUGAGUUGCGAACGGGUGAGUAACGCGUAGGUAACCUGCCUGGUAGCGGGGGAUAACUAUUGGAAACGAUAGCUAAUACCGCAUAAUAUUAAUUAUUGCAUGAUAAUUAAUUGAAAGGUGCAAUUGCACCACUACCAGAUGGACCUGCGUUGUAUUAGCUAGUAGGUGAGGUAACGGCUCACCUAGGCGACGAUACAUAGCCGACCUGAGAGGGUGAUCGGCCACACUGGGACUGAGACACGGCCCAGACUCCUACGGGAGGCAGCAGUAGGGAAUCUUCGGCAAUGGACGAAAGUCUGACCGAGCAACGCCGCGUGAGUGAAGAAGGGUUUCGGAUCGUAAAGCUCUGUUGUAAGAGAAGAACGGGUGUGAGAGUGGAAAGUUCACACUGUGACGGUAUCUUACCAGAAAGGGACGGCUAACUACGUG